GAAGGGGUGACAGCUUGAACAAGGAGAGGGAAUGGCAAAGGACUGGUGUACUGACACCAGAGCAGAGAGCUCUUUGGAUGGUGAACCCUGUGGCAGACAGGAAGGUCAUCUUCAUUAAUUACUUCUCUCUUCAAGUCCUUUACUGCAAACGUCUCUAUCCACAGACCAGGAGACAUUGACUUUCCCUUCCCCUAGACAUGCUGACUCCUGCCUGCCAGAGUGAUUCAGCAGCUUGCCACUCACUUUUACAGAAGGAAAGUUUUCUCCUGGCUUCUUCCACUGGCCUGGUGUGACUGUGGCUGCGAUCGAGGGACAUAUUCGUGUGGCCAGGUGAUUCUUCACACGGAGUCACUGUCGAGCUCGGAGCUCUCUGUCUAGCUGGCGGCUCUGUCCUUUAUGUGGGGAAGGAGAUCCCCGUGGAGAGCACCGGGGCUGCCUGCUUCACAGCUUUCCCUUUUCCAUGCAGGGUCAUGUUAAGUAACCAAAAGUUAUUUAUAAUUGAAGCUGAUUGCUGACUGUCUGUCAUAGUCAUCUGGGUCUAUAGAGGAAAGUCUAUAGAAAAACACUGCUCGUUUGUUUAAGUGCAACAAAUGCCCAUAAAAAAAUGCAAAGGAUGGGGAAUGAUGAACACUUCCUUUUCUUUCUUUCCCAUGCGAAAAAUUGGGGCAGGCCGUUAUUUUUAAUUUAAGCUGAG